AUGGGAGGCAAGGCACCCAAAACAAUAAUAACUGACCAAGAUAGAGGAAUGGAAAAGGCAAUAAAAGCUGUGUUUCCACAAGCAACACACAGAACAUGCUUGUUCCAUGUGAUGAAAAAAGCCGAAGAGAAAGGGUGCAGAGUGUUCCAACUGAAUCAAGGGUUAUAUGAGGACUUUCAUGACAUAGUGAAUAACUCAUUGACAGAGAGAGAGUUUGAAACACUAUGGCAAACAAUGAUUGAAAGUUACAAUGUGGGUGAGGUGAAAAUUUUCCAAGACAUGUGGGAAGCAAGGAAAAAAUUUGUGCCAGUGUACUUCAAGACAAAGUUUUUCCCAUUCAUCCAAACAACAUCUAGGAGUGAGGGCACAAAUGCUUUGUUCAAGAAGGGGGUUGGUGCACAGUUCAGCAUGACAAGCUUCCUACGAGAAUACCAGAGAAUACUAGACAACAUCCAUGCAAAUGAGGAUGAGCUUGACCAUAAUGCAAAGCACAAAAAAGUUUCCUGGAAAUCAUUCAACACUAAGUACUACAUCGAGAGACAAGCACACAGCCUGUACAACAUAAGCAUCUUCAGAAAAUUUCAGCUCAUUCUGAAUGAUGUAACAAGACUGCAAAUUAGAGAAGAGGAAAAAAUGAAACUAUACAUGUUAUACCAGGCAAAGAACUACUACAAACAAGAACACAGGACAAGGCUUUAUGUGGUGCAAGUGGAUACUGAGAAAGAAGAUUACUCCUGCAUUUGUUGCAAGUUUGAAAAGGAUGGCAUUUUGUGUUCUCAUAUUCUGAAAGUGAUGCUGCACCUUGAGGUGGAUAAGAUACCAGACAAAUACAUAAUAGACAGAUGGAGGAAACAAGGCAAGAAAAUGAAUAAACCCAAGGAGAUUCCACUCAUAUUAGAUAAUGACGAACUGAGAUACAAUGUCCUAGGGAUGAAGCUAAUGGAGCUUGGCUCAAACGCAUCAAAGAGUCAAAGGAAGUUUGAAUACCUGGUAUCAGAAAUGUUCAGGAUUCAACAACACUUAAUUGAUAUGGAUAGAGAAGGAGAAGAAGAGAUGGAUGGGCAAGGAGAACAAACAGAGGAGAGCAACAGAUCCAACAAGACAAUAGGCACACUGACAACUAUGGUGCAGAGUGGGGCAACAAUUCAACUGUUGGGCUAUUGA
rnacentral:rRNA from 1 species